rnacentral:rRNA from 1 species
GCUCUGCUGGACCAUAACUUUCGUCCCUGAGUGUCAGUUAUGGGAGCGAAUGGGAUUAGGUACCCCAGUUACCACCACCAGCAUUGGAACCACGUUCUUCACGGGGUUUUGCUUUGUUGACUUUGAGGUCGCGACCCAUCCACUCAGCACCGUCAAGAGCCUCAAUGGCUGCGGCUUCCUCGGCUUCUGUAGACAUUUCUACAAAAGCGAAACCCCGCAUCCGACCUGUUUCCCGGUCAGCAGGCAACUGAACGCGCUUUACUGUUCCGUACUCUCCAAAAGUUUGGUUGAG